rnacentral:rRNA from 1 species
AUACGGAGGGUCCAAGCGUUAUCCGGAAUCAUUGGGUUUAAAGGGUCCGCAGGCGGUCAAUUAAGUCAGAGGUGAAAGCCCAUCGCUCAACGAUGGAACUGCCUUUGAUACUGGUUGACUUGAGUUAUACGGAAGUAGAUAGAAUAAGUAGUGUAGCGGUGAAAUGCAUAGAUAUUACUUAGAAUACCGAUUGCGAAGGCAGUCUACUACGUAUAUACUGACGCUGAGGGACGAAAGCGUGGGGAGCGAACAGGAUUAGAAACCCUAGUAGUCC